UUUUAUUUGUUUAUUAGAUGAGAUCAGUGUAACUCUCCUCUGCCGUCAAUCGUCGGCUCUCUCGGCAAUGGCGAUGUCGGCGUCGGCGACGCGAAGACUUCCCCGCUUCCUGAAAACCCAAAAUCCCCCCGGGGCCCUCCGAUGGCGAGGGCGUUCGAUUUUCUUGUCAGCGAGCACACUGCCAAAUGGCUGCAGGAUACCAGCAAGAAAUCACUGAUGCAAUUGAUCAACGAAGUGCCUCCAGUCAAAUUUGAAGGUCGGAUUGUUGCUUGUGAAGGAGAUAGUUGCCCAACCUAAUUCCAACUGUGGAGGUAAUUCACCUCAUGGUUUGCUCAUUUCAUGUUGCUAACUAAAUCUCUGCUUCAAAUGCAGAUAGUAAUCCGGCCCUUGGCCAUCCAAUAGAGUUUAUUUGCCUUGACCUGGAAGCACCAGCGGUCUGCAAACACUGUGGCUUUCGUUAUGUUCAAGAUCAUCAUCACUAAGAUGACAGAAUGCGGCUGAAUCUUAACUGAUGAUUUGCUUGAUGCAUCAUAAGAAAAUUUAUGCGUGUUCUCAGCUUUUCAAAGCGUAACUAGCUUAUUUGGACUUUGUAUUGUUGAAGUAUUUUGUUGUCACUGGAGGCAUAAUAAUUAUGAAUAUAUUCCACCAUAAUAGAUUCUUGUCAAGGGAAUUUUCUUUC